rnacentral:rRNA from 1 species
CUGAGUACGGCGGAACACGUGAAAUUCCGUCGGAAUCCGGGAGGACCAUCUCCCAAGGCUAAAUACUCCCUAGUGACCGAUAGUGAACCAGUACCGUGAGGGAAAGGUGAAAAGCACCCCGGAAGGGGAGUGAAACAGUUCCUGAAACCGUGUGCCUACAAGUAGUUAGAGCCCGUUAAUGGGUGAUAGCGUGCCUUUUGUAGAAUGAACCGGCGAGUUACGAUUUGUUGCAAGGUUAAGCGGAAAAAGCGGAGCCGUAGCGAAAGCGAGUCUGAAUAGGGCGCAUAAGUAACAGGUCGUAGACCCGAAACCAGGUGAUCUACCCAUGUCCAGGAUGAAGGUAAGGUAAUACUUACUGGAGGUCCGAACCCACGCACGUUGAAAAGUGCGGGGAUGAGGUGUGGGUAGCGGAGAAAUUCCAAUCGAACUUGGAGAUAGCUGGUUCUCUCCGAAAUAGCUUUAGGGCUAGCCUCGAGGUAAAGAGUCAUGGAGGUAGAGCACUGUUUGGACUAGGGGCCCUUCUCGGGUUACCGAAUUCAGAUAAACUCCGAAUGCCAUGUACUUAUACUCGGGAGUCAGACUGCGAGUGAUAAGAUCCGUAGUCGAAAGGGAAACAGCCCAGACCACCAGUUAAGGUCCCCAAAUAUAUGUUAAGUGGAAAAGGAUGUGGGGUUGCUUAGACAACCAGGAUGUUGGCUUAGAAGCAGCCACCAUUGAAAGAGUGCGUAAUAGCUCACUGGUCGAGUGACCCCGCGCCGAAAAUGUACCGGGGCUAAACAUAUUACCGAAACUGUGGAUGAACCUCUUUAGAGGUUCGUGGUAGGAGAGCGUUCUAAGGGCGGUGAAGUCAGACCGGAAGGACUGGUGGAGCGCUUAGAAGUGAGAAUGCCGGUAUGAGUAGCGAAAGAAGGGUGAGAAUCCCUUCCACCGAAUAUCUAAGGUUUCCUGAGGAAGGCUCGUCCGCUCAGGGUUAGUCGGGACCUAAGCCGAGGCCGAUAGGCGUAGGCGAUGGACAACAGGUAGAGAUUCCUGUACCAGUGCUAAUUGUUUAACCGAUGGGGUGACACAGAAGGAUAGGGAAUCGCACGAAUGGAAAUGUGCGUCCAAGCAGUGAGUGUGAGAAGUAGGCAAAUCCGCUUCUCGCGAAGCAUGAGCUGUGAUGGGGAAGGAAAUUAAGUACGGAAGUUCCUGAUUUCACGCUGUCAAGAAAAGCCUCUAGGAAGAGUAGUACUGCCCGUACCGCAAACCGACACAGGUAGAUGAGGAGAGAAUCCUAAGGUGAGCGAGAGAACUCUCGUUAAGGAACUCGGCAAAAUGACCCCGUAACUUCGGGAGAAGGGGUGCUCUAUUAGGGUGCAAGCCCGAGAGAGCCGCAGUGAAUAGGCCCAGGCGACUGUUUAGCAAAAACACAGGUCUCUGCAAAACCGUAAGGUGACGUAUAGGGGCUGACGCCUGCCCGGUGCUGGAAGGUUAAGAGGAGUGCUUAGCUUCGGCGAAGGUACGAAUUGAAGCCCCAGUAAACGGCGGCCGUAACUAUAACGGUCCUAAGGUAGCGAAAUUCCUUGUCGGGUAAGUUCCGACCCGCACGAAAGGCGCAACGAUCUGGGCACUGUCUCAACGAGAGACUCGGUGAAAUUAUAGUACCUGUGAAGAUGCAGGUUACCCGCGACAGGACGGAAAGACCCCGUGGAGCUUUACUGCAACCUGAUAUGGAAUGUUUGUACCGCUUGUACAGGAUAGGUAGGAGCCGAAGAGACGUGUGCGCUAGCAUACGAGGAGGCAAUGGUGGGAUACUACCCUGGCUGUAUGACCAUUCUAACCCGCCACGCUUAGCGCGUGGGGAGACAGUGUCAGGUGGGCAGUUUGACUGGGGCGGUCGCCUCCUAAAGAGUAACGGAGGCGCCCAAAGGUUCCCUCAGAAUGGAUGGAAAUCAUUCGCAGAGUGUAAAGGCACAAGGGAGCUUGACUGCGAGACUGACAAGUCGAGCAGGGACGAAAGUCGGGCUUAGUGAUCCGGUGGUUCCGCA